GGGUUUCUAUGAGUUGAAAAAGUUUUUCAGGUAUACGUCACACGGGGAAAUUGGGAAUUAGAAGACUUAUAUGGGAACAGCAGCUUGAAACUGGAACAGACGACGGGACUUGGUGUCUGGAAUCCAACCGAAAUAAAGAGAUGCCAAGAGAGCUGGCAGUCACCGUUGAAGACUUCGGCCUUGGCCAUCAGGCCUCCAUGUUGGUGUGAAAGGCCAGGCAAAGACUGUCACUGAACAGAAAAUGGAGCCCCGCUGCCUGACUACAGAAAACGUGGUGGGGCAGGAUGCUAGCCUCUCUGGCGAUCUGUCCAGAGCCUGUUCUCUGGGAAAUCUCUGCCCGUGAACAGAGAUGAGCCCCAGCAGCCAGGUCCCAGCUCCUGGCCCUCUUGGGGACUGACUUCUUUCUGCCCUUGGAUUCUCGAAGUUACCUCUCUGUCUUUAGAACUGAUUUUUGAGGGUUGCCUGGGUGGCUCAGUCAGUUAAGCAUCUGCCUUUGGCUCAGGUCAUGAUCUUGG